CGACGAACGGUCGCUUUUGCCAACGGAGCUGAAGAUUCAGCGUCUGCCAGUGACCCGGACAGGCCACUGUUCAAGGACGCCAGACCCAACUUCAGGAACAUCUACCAUGCUGGUCAGAAGAGUGAAGCAAAAAAGAGGCAUAAGCACAUGUUCCUGCCGCUGUUCCUUGGAGGUUCAUUCCACGCAAGGGUCGAUC
rnacentral:lncRNA from 1 species